UGAGGGUUUAGCUUAAUUAAAGCGUCCGAUUUGCGUUCGGGUGAUGCAAGAUAGAGUCUUGUAAUUCUUA
rnacentral:tRNA from 1 species